rnacentral:misc_RNA from 1 species
AAGUCGUAACAAGGUUUCCGUAGGUGAACCUGCGGAAGGAUCAUUAAUACGCUUUUGUUUGUAACAAAACAAAACGUUUUAAACUCCAAAAGAAAUAGUGGAAACAUAACUUCCGGAUGCGAAUGUUGGGGAACUGAGUGAAAUCGGUUCUUUGAAGAAGGGACUUCAAGUAAUUGACACUUCAGGGUAGAGCAGUGAGGUGAAAUUCUCGUUUUACCGCGAGAGUUUGGUUCUGAAAAACAUUUGUAUCCGGUUAUCAUAAUCUGUUCUACAAACAUCAAAAUAUCAAACAAUAAACCCCAUGUACAACAACUUGAACUAAACAUUUUUUUGUUGUGUGUUCUUGCACUUUGUGUGAGAAGAUACUACAAAGAAAAAACCUGAACUUAAGAACAACUCUUAACAACGGAUAUCUUGGUUCUC